CGUACACGUCGUAACCGAGAGAGGGAGAUGUUUCGAGUUCCAUUGUGACCACGUGAUAUCUACGAAGGUUUGGCAAACCCCAAAGAUUUCGAGUUACGCUCGGUCCGAGCCGACCGUGGAACGUAGAAAUUGAAUCCGGAUUAACGCGGUAGCCGGAAAACCAAAACUACGCCGAAGGAUACAUCGAAGCAUCGUCCUCUCGCCGAGCUGGAACGGGAGUAGGGACUUUAAUUGGUGUAUACCCAAAAGGACGGAAACUACACCCGGUUCCCCCCAUACUUCGAAGGUUGGAUAGGGUACGCCGCAACUAUUCGCCUGUUGUUAUUCAGUCGUUUGGGGGAUGUCGCCGAAACGGGCGACGGUUGCCUACGCUGCUUUCACGCGGGGUAACUGACUGCCUGCGGUUGUCAGCUGGGGGGUUAAACUAGGUGAGUGCGCCGCAAGUGUUUGAUCUCCUUGACAGAAGAGACGAGAACGAGGGGAUCGAGGAAAUGCAGAGAGAAGGAAAACGAGAAUAGGAGGGAGGAAAGAAAAAGAAAAAAAAAGGAGCGAGCGUCAAACGAACGGCAGCCGGCGAA
rnacentral:lncRNA from 1 species